CUCCAAUUUCCAGUGUUGCUGGAGGAGGAGGCCCAGGACAGAAAGGUCGGAUUGGGAAUGGGAGGGGGAGUUGAACUUAUGUGCUGAGCCAUCAGGUUGGUUUUUGCGAACCGAGCGGAGGUGUUGGGCGAAGCGAUCGCCAAGCCUGCGCUUGGUCUCACCGAUGUAGAGCAGCUGGCACCUAG